rnacentral:rRNA from 1 species
UACGUAGGGUGCAAGCGUUAAUCGGAAUUACUGGGCGUAAAGCGUGCGCAGGCGGUUUUGUAAGUCUGUCGUGAAAUCCCCGGGCUCAACCUGGGAAUGGCGAUGGAGACUGCAAGGCUAGAGUUUGGCAGAGGGGGGUAGAAUUCCACGUGUAGCAGUGGAAAUGCGUAGAGAUGAUGGAGGAACACCGAUGGCGAAGGCAGCCCCCUGGGUCAAAACUGACGCUCAUGCACGAAAGCGUGGGGAGCAAACAGG